rnacentral:rRNA from 1 species
GACGAAUGCUGGCGGCGUGCCUAAUACAUGCAAGUUGAGCGAUGAAGAUUGGUGCUUGCGCCAAUUUGAAGAGCAGCGAACGGGUGAGUAACGCGUGGGGAAUCUGCCUUUGAGCGGGGGACAACAUUUGGAAACGAAUGCUAAUACCGCAUAACAACUUUAAACAUAAGUUUUAAGUUUGAAAGAUGCAAUUGCAUCACUCAAAGAUGAUCCCGCGUUGUAUUAGCUAGUUGGUGAGGUAAAGGCUCACCAAGGCGAUGAUACAUAGCCGACCUGAGAGGGUGAUAGGCCACAUUGGGACUGAGACACGGCCCAAACUCCUACGGGAGGCAGCAGUAGGGAAUCUUCGGCAAUGGACGAAAGUCUGACCGAGCAACGCCGCGUGAGUGAAGAAGGUUUUCGGAUCGUAAAACUCUGUUGGUAGAGAAGAACGUUGGUGAGAGUGGAAAGCUCAUCAAGUGACGGUAACUACCCAGAAAGGGACGGCUAACUACGUGCCAGCAGCCGCGGUAA